ACGAACGCUGGCGGCGUGGAUAAGACAUGCAAGUCGAACGGGAGAAUUGCUAGCUUGCUAAUAAUUCUCUAGUGGCGCACGGGUGAGUAACACGUGAGUAACCUGCCUCUUAGUGGGGGAUAGCCCUGGGAAACCGGGAUUAAUACCGCAUACGAUUGAAAGAUCAAAGCAGCAAUGCGCUAGGAGAUGGGCUCGCGGCCUAUUAGUUAGUUGGUGAGGUAACGGCUCACCAAGGCGAUGACGGGUAGCCGGUCUGAGAGGAUGUCCGGCCACACUGGAACUGAGACACGGUCCAGACACCUACGGGUGGCAGCAGUCGAGAAUCAUUCACAAUGGGGGCAACCCUGAUGGUGCGACGCCGCGUGGGGGAAUGAAGGUCUUCGGAUUGUAAACCCCUGUCAUGUGGGAGCAAAUUAAAAAGAUAGUACCACAAGAGGAAGAGACGGCUAACUCUGUGCCAGCAGCCGCGGUAAUACAGAGGUCUCAAGCGUUGUUCGGAAUCACUGGGCGUAAAGCGUGCGUAGGCUGUUUCGUAAGUCGUGUGUGAAAGGCAGGGGCUCAACCCCUGGAUUGCACAUGAUACUGCGAGACUAGAGUAAUGGAGGGGGAACCGGAAUUCUCGGUGUAGCAGUGAAAUGCGUAGAUAUCGAGAGGAACACUCGUGGCGAAGGCGGGUUCCUGGACAUUAACUGACGCUGAGGCACGAAGGCCAGGGGAGCGAAAGGGAUUAGAUACCCCUGUAGUCCUGGCAGUAAACGGUGCACGCUUGGUGUGCGGGGAAUCGACCCCCUGCGAGCCGGAGCUAACGCGUUAAGCGUGCCGCCUGGGGAGUACGGUCGCAAGAUUAAAACUCAAAGAAAUUGACGGGGACCCGCACAAGCGGUGGAGUAUGUGGCUUAAUUCGAUGCAACGCGAAGAACCUUACCUGGGCUUGACAUGUAAUGAACAACAUGUGAAAGCAUGCGACUCUUCGGAGGCGUUACACAGGUGCUGCAUGGCCGUCGUCAGCUCGUGUCGUGAGAUGUUUGGUUAAGUCCAGCAACGAGCGCAACCCCUGUUGCCAGUUACCAGCACGUCAAGGUGGGGACUCUGGCGAGACUGCCCAGAUCAACUGGGAGGAAGGUGGGGACGACGUCAGGUCAGUAUGGCCCUUAUGCCCAGGGCUGCACACGUACUACAAUGCCCAGUACAGAGGGGGCCGAAGCCGCGAGGCGGAGGAAAUCCUGAAAACUGGGCCCAGUUCGGACUGUAGGCUGCAACCCGCCUACACGAAGCCGGAAUCGCUAGUAAUGGCGCAUCAGCUACGGCGCCGUGAAUACGUUCCCGGGUCUUGUACACACCGCCCGUCACAUCAUGGAAGCCGGUCGCACCCGAAGUAUCUGAAGCCAACCGCAAGGAGGCAGGGUCCUAAGGUGAGACUGGUAACUGGGAUG
rnacentral:rRNA from 1 species